rnacentral:rRNA from 1 species
UACAGAGGGGGGCAAGCGUUGUUCGGAAUUACUGGGCGUAAAGGGCGCGUAGGCGGCCUUCUAAGUCGAACGUGAAAUCCCCGGGCUCAACCCGGGAACUGCGUCCGAUACUGGGAGGCUUGAAUCCGGGAGAGGGAUGUGGAAUUCCAGGUGUAGCGGUGAAAUGCGUAGAUAUCUGGAGGAACACCGGUGGCGAAGGCGGGUCUCUGGGCCGAUACUGACGCUGAGGAGCGAAAGCGUGGGGAGCGAACAGG